rnacentral:rRNA from 1 species
AGUCGACGCGGGCACUUGUGCCCGAGUGGCGAACGGGUGAGUAAUACAUAAGUAACCUGGCCUUUACAGGGGGAUAACUGCUGGAAACGGCAGCUAAGACCGCAUAGGUAGGGACACUGCAUGGUGACCGUAUUAAAAGUGCUGCAAGGCACUGGUAGAGGAUGGACUUAUGGCGCAUUAGCUGGUUGGUGAGGUAACGGCUCACCAAGGCGACGAUGCGUAGCCGACCUGAGAGGGUGACCGGCCACACUGGGACUGAGACACGGCCCAGACUCCUACGGGAGGCAGCAGUAGGGAAUUUUCGGCAAUGGGGGGAACCCUGACCGAGCAACGCCGCGUGAAGGAAGAAGGAAUUCGUUCUGUAAACUUCUGUUAUAAAGGAAGAAAGACGGAUGGAGGAAAUGACAUCCGAGUGACGGUACUUUAUGAGAAAGCCACGGCUAACUACGUGCCAGCAGCCGCGGUAAUACGUAGGUGGCAAGCGUUAUCCGGAAUUAUUGGGCGUAAAGAGGGAGCAGGCGGCAGCAAAGGUCUGUGGUGAAAGACUGAAGCUUAACUUCAGUAAGCCAUAGAAACCGGGCAGCUAGAGUGCAGGAGAGGAUCGUGGAAUUCCAUGUGUAGCGGUGAAAUGCGUAGAUAUAUGGAGGAACACCAGUGGCGAAGGCGACGAUCUGGCCUGCAACUGACGCUCAGUCCCGAAAGCGUGGGGAGCAAAUAGGAUUAGAUACCCUAGUAGUCCACGCCGUAAACGAUGAGUACUAAGUGUUGGAAGUCAAAUUUCAGUGCUGCAG